rnacentral:tRNA from 1 species
GCCUGGGUGGCUCAGUCAGUUAAGCGUCUGACUUCGGCUCAGGUCAUGAUUUCAUGGUUCGUGGGUUCGAGCCCCACAUCAGGCU